UACGUAGGGGGCAAGCGUUGUCCGGAAUCAUUGGGCGUAAAGAGCGCGUAGGCGGCCCUGUAAGUCCGCUGUGAAAGUCAAGGGCUCAACCCUUGAAUGCCGGUGGAUACUGCAGGGCUAGAGUCCGGAAGAGGCGAGUGGAAUUCCUGGUGUAGCGGUGAAAUGCGUAGAUAUCGGGAGGAACACCAGUGGCGAAGGCGACCAUCUGGACG
rnacentral:rRNA from 1 species